UAAUACGGAGGGUGCAAGCGUUAUCCGGAUUUACUGGGUUUAAAGGGUGUGUAGGCGGGCUUUUAAGUCAGUGGUGAAAUCUCCGGGCUCAACCUGGAAACUGCCAUUGAUACUAUUAGUCUUGAAUUUUGUUGAGGUAGGCGGAAUAAGUCAUGUAGCGGUGAAAUGCAUAGAUAUGACUUAGAACACCAAUUGCGAAGGCAGCUUGCUAAACAAAUAUUGACGCUGAGGCACGAAAGCGUGGGGAUCAAACAGG
rnacentral:rRNA from 1 species